AACCUGGUUGAUCUUGCCAGUAGUCAUAUGCUUGUCUCAAAGAUUAAGCCAUGCAAGUGAAAGUAUAUGCAUAUUUUAUAUGUAGGAACUCGCAACGGCUCAUUAAAACAGUUAUAAUCUACUUGACAUUUUUUCUAUAAGGAUAACUACGGAAAAGCUGUAGCUAAUACUUGCUUUAGCACUCUUGAUUCAUUUCUUGAGUGUGUACUUGUUAAGCCUUUUAAGAAAAAAGUUAUUAACUUAAGGAAUUAUAACAAAGAAGCGACACGUAAUGGAUCCGUCCAUUUUUAGUGUGUAUCAAUCGAGUUCUGACCUAUCAGCUUUUGAUGUUAGGGUAUUGGCCUAACAUGGCUAUGACGGGUAACGGGGAAUUAGAGUUCGAUUCCGGAGAGGGAGCCUGAGAAAUAGCUACCACAUCUAAGGAAGGCAGCAGGCGCGUAAAUUACCCAAUUCUAAAGAAGAGAGGUAGUGACAAGAAAUAACAAUACAAGGCCAAUCUGGCUUUGUAAUUGGAAUGAUGGGAAUUUAAAACCUUCCCAAAACUCAAUUGGAGGGCAAGUCUGGUGCCAGCAGCCGCGGUAAUUCCAGCUCCAAUAGCGUAUAUUAAAAUUGUUGCAGUUAAAACGCUCGUAGUUGAAUUUCAAAGAAUCGAUAUUUUAAGCAACGCUUCUAGCUUAAUCCACAUAACUGAUACUUCGUAUCGACUUUGUGCGCAUUUUGCUAUUAUGUGUUCUUUUAAUUAAAAUGAUUCUUUUUAAGGACUUUCUUUGCUUCGGCUUGGAAGUCCUUGUUACUUUGAGUAAAUUAGAGUGUUCAAAGCAAACAGAUAUAGCAUUGCGCCGUUUGAAUACUACAGCAUGGAAUAACAAAUUGAACAAGUCAGAAUUUUUCUUCUUUUUUCUUAUUUUGGCUUAGUUACGAUUAAUAGGAGUAGCUUGGGGGCAUUUGUAUUCAGAUGUCAGAGGUGAAAUUCUUAGAUUUUCUGGAGACAAACAACUGCGAAAGCAUUUGCCUAAAAUACUUCCAUUAAUCAAGAACGAAAGUUAAGGGAGUGAAGACGAUCAGAUACCGUCGUAAUCUUAACCAUAAACUAUGCCGACUAGGCUUUGGAUGAAAGAUUUUAAAAUAAGAAUUUUCUCUUCGGAGUUUAUUCUUAGAUUGCUUCCUUCAGUGCCUUAUGAGAAAUCAAAGUCUUUGGGUUCUGGGGCGAGUAUUCGCGCAAGCGAGAAAGUUAAAAGAAUUCGGAAGGGCACCACCAGGCGUGGAGCUUGCGGCUUAAUUUGACUCAACACGGGAAAACUCACUAGUUUAAGACAAGAGUAGGAUUGACAGAUUAAUAGCUCUUUCUUGAUUUCUUGGAUGGUGAUGCAUGGCCGUUUUUAGUUCGUGAAUAUGAUUUGUCUGGUUAAUUCCGAUAACGAACGAGAUCUUAACCUGCUAAUUAGCGGCAAAUACGAUAUAUUCUUACGUGGGACUGAAUUCGGUUGAUUUGCUUACUUUGAAGAAAAUAUUGGGAAACGUAACAGUUUCCCUUUCCCUUUUCUACUUAGUUCGCUUUUCAUACUGUUUCUUUUCGCGUAAGAAUGUAUUUGCUUGAUUGUAAAGCUU
rnacentral:rRNA from 1 species